AACGCACAUUGCGCCCUUUGGUAUUCCGAAGGGCAUGCCUGUUCGAGCGUCAUUAUCACCCCCUCAAGCCCCGUGCUUGGUGUUGGACGGUUCGGUGGAGAGUCACACCUCCCACCCGUCCUAAAGACAAUGACGGCGGCCUCGUGGAACCCCCGGUACACUGAGCUUCUUAACUGAGCACGUAUCGGAUCAAGGGAUCCCGGGACACGGUCAUCUCCCCGCCCGGGGAAAUUUUUCUCAAGGUUGACCUCGGAUCAGGUAGGAAUACGCGCUGAACUUAA
rnacentral:misc_RNA from 1 species